AGUCGCACGAGAAGUUCAGCUUGCUGAAAUGAGUAAGUGGCGCACGGGUAGUAACACGUGGGUAACCUGCCCCGAAUCGGGAUAACGUUGCGAAAGCGGCGCUAUACCGAAUAAUAUUAAUAAGACCUAGGUUUUGUUAAUCAAAGAUGGCCAAUUCUUGAAAGCUAUUGUUUGAAGAUGAGUCUACGCACCAUUAGCUUGUUGGUGGGGUAAAAGCCUACCAAGGCGACGAUGGUUAGCUGGUCUGAGAGGAUGAUCAGCCACACUGGAACUGACACACGGUCCAGACUCCUACGGGAGGCAGCAGUGAGGAAUUUUGCGCAAUGGGGGAAACCCUGACGCAGCAACGCCGCGUGAGUGAUGAAGGCUCUUGGGUCGUAAAACUCUGUCAGCAGGGAAGAAAUUAUAUAUGGUUAAUACCCAUAUGUAUUGACGGUACCUGCAAAGGAAGCACCGGCUAACUCCGUGCCAGCAGCCGCGGUAAUACGGGGGGUGCAAGCGUUAUUCGGAAUUAUUGGGCGUAAAGCGAGUGUAGGCGGUCUGUUAAGUCAGAUGUGAAAGCCCGGGGCUCAACCCCGGAAGUGCAUUUGAAACUGUCAGACUUGAGUAUGGGAGAGGAAAGUGGAAUUCCUGGUGUAGAGGUGAAAUUCGUAGAUAUCAGGAGGAACACCAGUGGCGAAGGCGACUUUCUGGACCAAUACUGACGCUCAGACUCGAAGGCGUGGGGAGCAAACAGGAUUAGAUACCCUGGUAGUCCACGCAGUAAACGUUGACAACUAGGUGUCGCGGGUAUUGACCCCUGCGGUGCCGGAGCUAACGCAUUAAGUUGUCCGCCUGGGGAGUACGAUCGCAAGAUUAAAACUCAAAGGAAUUGACGGGGGCCCGCACAAGCGGUGGAGCAUGUGGUUUAAUUCGACGCAACGCGAAGAACCUUACCUGUAUUUGACAUCCUGGGACAUAGAGUAGAAAUAUUCUUUUCCUUCGGGACUCUUUACAAGGUGCUGCAUGGUUGUCGUCAGCUCGUGCCGUGAGGUGUCGGGUUAAGUCCCAUAACGAGCGCAACCCCUAUCGUUAGUUGCCAGCGAGUCAAGUCGGGGACUCUAACGAGACUGCCGGUGUAAACCGCGAGGAAGGUGGGGAUGACGUCAUAUCAGCACGGCCCUUACGUCCAGGGCUACACACGUGUUACACUGGCCGAUACAAAGGGCAGCUAGGCAGCGAUGCCGAGCGAAUCUCGAAAGACGGUCUCAGUUCGGAUCGGAGUCUGCAACUCGACUUCUUGAAGUUGGAUUCGCUAGUAAUCGCGUAUCAGCCACGGCGCGGUGAAUACGUCCCGGGCCUUGACACACCGCCCGUCAAGCCAUGGAAGUCUGGGGUGCCUGAAGGCCGU
rnacentral:rRNA from 1 species